AGUGGUUUAAUGUAAUAGGAACAUUUUCGGCUCAUGUCCGGAAUAUAUAGGUGCAAAUCCUAUGGCCGCAU
rfam:Hirsutella minnesotensis 3608 unplaced genomic scaffold MNSD_Scf_204, whole genome shotgun sequence.